rnacentral:lncRNA from 1 species
GGCUCUUGAAAUUGAAGAUAUUAUGAUCAAAAGUAACAAUUUUGUAUUUAAUUGAAAAUACAACUAUAUUUUCUACUAUUAACUUAUCAUGCACACUCUUAAAACAAAAAAAAAAUGUGCAAAAAAAUUUGCUUUGGCACAAGUGCAGUGGAAUUGCCUUAGCCUACAAGAUAGAAAACAUUCAGUGGUGUAAAUAGGACAUGCAAACGAGAUAAAAAAAUUGCAUGGGCACAAGUGUAGUGCAUACCUAACUCAUUUUGUUGUCGCCCCUGCUACUUCUAUAAACAUAACAAAGUCAACCAUAUUUUCCAACAUUUAUUAACUUAUCAUGCACACUCUUAAAAUAACAAAAAAAAAUGUGUCAAUUAGUUACCUUCUCUCUUUCAAGAUGAAACCUAGAAAUAAUAUUGUCCCUUUUGAACUUGGAUUUGGAAAGAAAGGGUGGAGUUCACAAUGGUCUUUUUACGCCAACGGGUAGAAAUAUUUUCCAAAUCUACUUCUUUACAGAGACGAGUCUUCUUCUUAGGUUUCUUAGGUUUCUUAUUCGUCUGAGUACAUUUUUUGUAUAUCUGCCCAUAUGGGCAGGACAACCUCGGGACGCUCUAAGAGCUAACAAUUAGCUGCUCUUGCUUUAAGGGGUCAUCAUGCCCCAAUUGAUGAUCCUACUGCUGCAUUGGGUUAUGAUACCCUAACUGAUCAUCCUCCAUAUCCAAGAGUUGAUCCAAGUUCUCUACACAAAUUUAAAAAACUCAAAUCUAAUAAGUAAUAUUAGAUAGUGAAUUUGGUUUGGAAAAUAUCUAAUGAACAUUACCAAAAUGAGAGAGCAAGUUGUACUGAGAGUCCCCAUGUCUCUCAUUUAGACACAAUCCCCAUGUUAAAGUUAUGUAAAGAAAAAAAUCAACUUACGUAUUUCCCCAUCAUGCUCUUGUGUUGGAGAUGUUAUCUCUUCCUCUUGAUUUUGAAAACCCCUCUUUUCUUCAU